rnacentral:rRNA from 1 species
CAGCACCUCAAGUGGUCAGGAUGAUUAUUGGGCCUAAAGCAUCCGUAGCCGGCGCUGUAAGUUUUCCGUUAAAUCUGUACGCUCAACGUACAGGCUGCCGGGAAUACUGCAGCGCUAGGGAGUGGGAGAGGUAGACGGUACUCGGUAGGAAGGGGUAAAAUCCUUUGAUCUAUUGAUGACCACCUGUGGCGAAGGCGGUCUACCAGAACACGUCCGACGGUGAGGGAUGAAAGCUGGGGGAGCAAACCGGAUUAGAUACCCGAGUAGUCC